rfam:Gossypium raimondii Chr13_contig_1325, whole genome shotgun sequence.
UACUAAAAAUUUCAUCUAUUUUUUUAGUUAAAAAUUAUUGUAGUUGAUAGAAUAAUCAAAUAGUCACAUGUGAUGUGUUAUUUAUUUAAACGUUAAUGCACUAGUUUUUAACGGUAGAAAUGAAUAAAAUUUUUAACA